AUGCUGUUCCUGCACUGCUCCAUGUCUGUGGGCCUCCAGCCGUCGCCGUCCUCCAAGAGCUGCACCUACGACAAGGCGACGGGCAGGUGGCUGGAGCUGGAGGCCUCCCCGUCCGUGUGCUCCUGCUGUGAGAGCGUCUGUGUGGACUCCGGCCGCGCCGACAGCACCACAGUGAGCAGCGCAGCCUGGAACAUGGCACAGCUCCCACACCAACGGCACCAUGAUGUGUCUCUGAGGAGAGGACAACAAGGCCUGACAGAGGAGCUACUGCACCAUGAUGACGUGUCUCUGAAGAGAGGACAACAAGGCCUGACAGGGGAGCUUCUGCACCAUGAUGACGUCGGUCUCUUGAAGAGAGGAGGAGGAACUAGGGCUGAACAGGGCGAGCUACUGCACCAUUUGAUGACGUGUUCUCUGGAAGAGAGUAGAACAAUAGGCGUGACAGGAGGCUUCUGCACCAUGAUGACGUGUCUCUGAAGAGGGGAGAACUAAGGCCUGACAGGAGCUUACUGCACCAUGAUGACAUGUCUUCGAAGAGGAAGGACAACAAGGC
rnacentral:lncRNA from 1 species